UGGGGAAUUUUGGACAAUGGGCGAAAGCCUGAUCCAGCAAUGCCGCGUGUGUGAAGAAGGCCUUCGGGUUGUAAAGCACUUUUGUCCGGAAAGAAAUCCUUGGCUCUAAUACAGUCGGGGGAUGACGGUACCGGAAGAAUAAGCACCGGCUAACUACGUGCCAGCAGCCGCGGUAAUACGUAGGGUGCAAGCGUUAAUCGGAAUUACUGGGCGUAAAGCGUGCGCAGGCGGUUUGCUAAGACCGAUGUGAAAUCCCCGGGCUCAACCUGGGAACUGCAUUGGUGACUGGCAGGCUAGAGUAUGGCAGAGGGGGGUAGAAUUCCACGUGUAGCAGUGAAAUGCGUAGAGAUGUGGAGGAAUACCGAUGGCGAAGGCAGCCCCCUGGGCAAGUACUGACGCUCAUGCACGAAAAGCGUGGGGGAGCAAAACAGGAUUAGAUACCCCUGGUAGUCCACGCCCUAAAACGAUGUCAACUAGUUGUUGGGGAUUCAUUUCCUUAGUAAACGUAGCUAACGCGUGAAGUUGACCGCCUGGGGGAGUACGGUCGCAAAGAUUAAAAACUCAAAAGGAAUUGACGGGGUCAUAGCUGUUUCCU
rnacentral:rRNA from 1 species